AUCAAAUUCAGCACUAGCCAAGAUGCAUUUUUACUUCUAACUCACAGUAAUACUUAAAAGUGUAGAUUUGCAGUGACUUACAAGUUCCAGAAAAUUCAAACAAAAAUGCAUUAACAGGAGGACUAUGUGUAGUCUCAAUAGACAUGUAACAAUGGUGUUAAGUCAUCGCAACUGGCUUAGGUGGCUGACUGUUUGAACUCUAUACCCCAUGCAAGCCUUGGACAGUCCUUCAGCCUGCAUCUUUCCUCACGUCUUAAAGCUGAGAGGAGCAGCCACUCCGAACUACUGCCCUGAGAAGCUCGUCUGGCCAAAGAAAUGCUUGCAGACUUCUGAAGAAGAUAUUUGUUUAUCUGUGUUGUUUAUUGAUCUACUGUCUGGCUAAUACACCACUUGAGAAGAUUCUGAGCCAAAUGUACCGCUAAUGUAAGCAGCAAAUGCAAUGACAUCGAAAUCGGUUGUGAGUCUGGCCCUCUGAGUUUACUCAUGAAAAAACAUUAACUUUACAAUGACCGGUCAAAACAUAUACAUUUAUUUUAGUUCAAGCCUCUCACUGAAACCAGAUUUACACUGAGAUAAUUUCAGUGAGUUCAGCAGAAUUGCUCUGAAUGUGCUCUAGGGUGAUGAAAACCAAGCAUACCUGUUUUUAAAGAGUUCCUCCUAAACUCCAACACGUCAGAGAAUAAAAAAAUGUUCUCCUUUUUUUUUUUUUUUUUU
rnacentral:lncRNA from 1 species